rnacentral:rRNA from 1 species
UACAGAGGUCUCAACCGUUGUUCGGAUUCAUUGGGCGUAAAGGGUGCGUAGGCGGUCGUGCAAGUCGGAUGUGAAAUCUCAGGGCUCAACCCUGAAACUGCAUUCGAUACUGCCUUGCUCGAGGACUGGAGAGGAGAUUGGAAUUCACGGUGUAGCAGUGAAAUGCGUAGAUAUCGUGAGGAAGACCAGUGGCGAAGGCGGAUCUCUGGACAGUUCCUGACGCUGAGGCACGAAGGCCAGGGGAGCAAACGGG